rnacentral:tRNA from 1 species
GCCUGGCUGGCUCAUGGGUAAAGCAUGUGACUCUUGAUCUCAGUGUUGUGAGUUCCAGCCCCAUGUUGGGUA